GUCUCUGUGGCUCAGUCGGUAGAGCGUUGGUCUCAUAUGACAUACAUAUGACGCUAGAGUAUCUAGGGAUAUCCAAAGGUCGCAAGUUCGAGCCUUGCCAGGGACA
rfam:Colletotrichum salicis strain CBS 607.94 Scaffold_2276.1, whole genome shotgun sequence.